AACUUUUGGAUUGCUGCCUCAGCCUUGGCUUUUUGGAGGUGUUCCCAAGCAGUAAUUUUUUCUUGCUCUCGCUCAACCCUUUUAACAUUGCAUGGAGUGAUUAGCAUUUCACGGCUUGAUGAAGACUUAGACUCCACUGUCUUUUUCUUCACAUCUAUAACAUUUGUUGAGUUCUUGCUAGAUGCUCGUGUAACAUGUUUCUUGGACCACCUGGUAAGAGUCACUCGAUCGUCCAUGUGCACAUCCCUGAUAACAUCAGAGAAACAAUUCUCCUUUUCUCUGACUUGGUGUGUCGUAAGCAAAUGGAUAAAUGGAGUACUGACACUGGGCGAAGAUGACCGACUUAGAUUUGGGCUUGUUUGAGUUGCCGCAUCCUUCCGCAAAAUUAUAGGGGUGAUAAUGGAGGCUGACUCUUCUGUGAUUCCAACCUGUUCAUCUGAAUCAGAAACCAAACAAGAAGGUACAAACAUAAGACUGACUUGAUCUGUUGUGUACAGAAUAAGACUAACUUUCUAUGAUGUUAUACUUGCCUCCAAUGCCAAUGCUGGCCUCCUCACCAGCUGUUCUGCUCAUAUACCUCCCAAUGUUAUCUUUCUCUCCACAAUAAUGUUCUGGUAUCAGUACUCCAGCCAAGAAAGGCGAGUUUGCUGUCAAAUGUCCAACUCUCCCAUUGUCAAGCAAUGACACAGAUGAGUAUUGUCCACCAAAUUUUCCAGGAGGCCCUAAUGGACCACUUUUGGACUUUGGUCGCCGAGCAGGAGCAAAUGAAGUCUUCUCGAGCACGUCACUCGAAUUCGGACUGAAGAUCCAUCUCUCUGCAUCCUCCCAUUUGGAGGGCAAUGUCCUCCCAUUGCUGAAGGGAAAUGCCAUGCUGCUGCCUGGGUACCUCCUGUUACCUUUGGAAGCAAGCGGUACUCUCUCAGAGCUCCACCCCUUUUGGUAACCAAAUACUGAUGAACGAUGCCGCCGAUAGUUCGGUGUCCUGGGACUAGGAAAAACGUCUGAUCUGAUGAAUGAUGAUGACACAAGACCCUUGUUCAUCAAACCCACACCCCCAACCACAAAGCCCGGAGAAAGAGGGGCUCCAUUGAACCCGGGGCUGCCGCUGCCAAAGUCCAGAGAGGCUGGCCGUUGCUUCAACCCCUUCCUACCCUGCA
rnacentral:sRNA from 1 species